GUUUCUGGGAGCCUUCUGUACUGAUCAAACCACUAUCAGAAAUAACCAUUCCUUGUCUAGGAGGGUGGAGAGUAAAGCAAGAAUGUCUGUGGGUGUUUCAGUCUACUCCCUCCGGUUUUGUUUCUGAAAUAUUUACUUAAGUGUAUUUGAACGAAAGGCUGUUGAACUUGGUCUUUGUGAAAGCCUAGUAGCUUUGGUCAUUUGUAACUUUGCAUGCUGAGAGACUAAGGGGUUUGUAGCUGCUGUAGUUGAUGCCUUCCUGAUAAUUCUGUUCCCGUUUUUCAGCAGUGGAACAGUGUUUGUGUGACUUCUGAUGAACAGCAGGGGUCUGACUUUAUAUGCCAGCAAAAAUUAUCUAUUCAAUAGCGGGUUACUUGGCAGGGAGAAUCAUCUACCUCUUUUGUAGUUGCUGCCCAAAGGGGAAGAAUAUAUGGAACUCAUGGUGUUGCGAAGUUAGGCCAUGGGACUCCAAGGGCUGGAUCUUCAUGAACAGCACCCAGCCACGAAGCAAGACAAAACUAUUCGCGAGGCUCCACAGCACAAUUCCAGAUUCCCUUGCACUAAACUGCCCCUCUCCUGUUUUCACAUCCCUGUCUCACAAACUGUACAGAGAGCAACAGAGUGCACCCAGAGCCCUGUGUGCCUCCAGCCAUAAGCAUCUUGCUGAGUGCUUGCUGCUAGUCCUGCCUGGGUAAAGAGAGACAUGGGCACCAGCGCAGCGUCACUGCAUUCGUCCUGGGAGGUUUGUCUUUCUGCUGUUACCUCACUCCCAGUAGCCCGCUAGUGCAAACCAGCAGGCAGCGACAGAUUGAAAAAUCUUCAGAGUGACUUCUCUGGGCUAGAGGAAAUCAAUAUAUGAAGUUUUAUGUAUGAUGUACAUCUGUAGAGGAAGAGAUUUCUUUUCUGUCUUGUGCUGCUGUGCUCCCUAGUGGGAUGCAUUCACCGACAGUCAGUAUCUAUUUGAAUUAUUAACUUGGGCAGAGUUAUUAAAUGUAAACCCUGGCACCUUAUGUUUAGCACAAGAUAAAAUGCUGGGAUAAGCCAGUCAGAGAAAGCCUCUGACUUACAGUGGUUUGGGCAAUACUUAAAUCGUUCCUCAGCUCCAUACUCUCCCAUACCUCCCUUCCCCCUUCCUCCCUCCCACCUUCUUUGCCUCGUUCACACACGGCUUCCAGUUUUGGACCCUGAAGAUUCAGAUCUUAAACUUUUUCAAAGUGCUACCUAUUUUUAUAAUGCUUUGUAUUUGCCUAUGUGGCUCAUUUGCAUAGCCCCAAAUCAGCAUAAACCCUAACCUCAUCUCACUAAGGGGAUUUACCUGUAACCAACCGAAUUUGGUUUGCUAAUGAAGUAGUCGGAUUCCCAGACAGCUAAGAUACACCUUGAUGGCUUCUUAGAAAGCGAAUUCUCUCACCUGGAAUGAAUUUCAGUACCCAAUAAAAAAGGACACUUGUUUUGACACUUGGUCUUCAAAACCCAGGACACAACAACAGGGAAAGACGUGCAGAAAAAGGGUUUUGAAAGUGUAAUCAAAAAGAAGAAGCUGGAGUUCAUCUCAGAAAUGUCAGAUUUGGGCCAAUAAACACUGCUGCGGUCAGUUUCCCUUUCCAUGCAACAAUAAAUAUAACAAUAGCAAAUAUGCAAACCCAACGAUUAUUAACAAUGCCUUAGUAAUAAAUGUGUACAAAUAAAUAAUAAGUAAUUCCAGCCCAUG